rnacentral:rRNA from 1 species
UACGUAGGGGGCAAGCGUUGUCCGGAAUUAUUGGGCGUAAAGCGCGCGCAGGCGGCUUCUUAAGUCUGGUGUGAAAGCCCGCAGCUCAACUGCGGAGGGCCACUGGAAACUGGGAAGCUUGAGUGUAGGAGAGGAGAGCGGAAUUCCACGUGUAGCGGUGAAAUGCGUAGAUAUGUGGAGGAACACCCGUGGCGAAAGCGGCUCUCUGGCCUAUAACUGACGCUGAGGCGCGAAAGCGUGGGGAGCAAACAGG